rnacentral:lncRNA from 1 species
CUCUGAUUCAGGCUAACUGGGUCUUUGUGCGCUUGCGUAUCUGGAGUUGCGCGUCCGCUGUAGGCCGCUUGCGGCUGUGAGGGUCCGCCGAGCUGUCGCGGGUUUAUUUAAUCGCCACGGACUCUUGUGUGAGACUCUUGUUCCUCCUGCGGCUGUCCAGCGCUUCCCGGUUCUGUGUGGGCACGAGUCCGUGAGAGGGGUCACGCCCUUCUUCCCCAGAGGGUGUGGAGCGCGGGGUUCGCGAGGGAGUCUUCUCCAGUCUCUUGCCCUGUCUCCAGUAUUUCUUGUGCGUACCAACUGAAUG